rnacentral:tRNA from 1 species
GGAUUGUGGCUCAGUGGUAGAGUGCUUGCCUAGCAUGCAUGAGACCCUGGGUUCAAUUCUCAGCACCA